GACAGAGGCCUCAAGCGUUAGGCGGAAUCACUGGGCUUAAAGCGUGUGUAGGCGGAUCGUUAAGUGUCUUGUGAAAUCCCACGGCUCACCCGUGGAACUGCUGGGCAUACUGGCGAUCUUGGGCCAACUAGGGGCAGCCGGAACAAGCGGUGGAGCGGUGAAAUGCGUAGAUAUCGCUUGGAACGCCGAAGGGGAAAACAGGCUGCUGGGGUUGUGCCGACGCUGAGACACGAAAGCCAGGGGAGCAAACGGG
rnacentral:rRNA from 1 species